GCGCUUGCUUGGAAGCACAUAUAUUAAAACUGGAGAAAUACAGAGAAGAUUAGCAUGGCAUCUGCACAAGGAUAAGUUUUAUUUAAAAGACAUAAAAUAAAAAAAA
ensembl:snRNA U6 U6 spliceosomal RNA